rnacentral:tRNA from 1 species
GGGAAAGUGGCUCAGUGGUAGAGUGCUUGCCUUGAAUGCAUGAAGCCCUGGGUUCGAUUCCUCAGCACCA